rnacentral:rRNA from 1 species
GAUGAACGCUGGCGGCGUGCUUAACACAUGCAAGUCGAACGAUGAAGCCCAGCUUGCUGGGUGGAUUAGUGGCGAACGGGUGAGUAACACGUGAGUAACCUGCCCUUAACUCUGGGAUAAGCCUGGGAAACUGGGUCUAAUACCGGAUAGGAGCGUCCACCGCAUGGUGGGUGUUGGAAAGAUUUAUCGGUUUUGGAUGGACUCGCGGCCUAUCAGCUUGUUGGUGAGGUAAUGGCUCACCAAGGCGACGACGGGUAGCCGGCCUGAGAGGGUGACCGGCCACACUGGGACUGAGACACGGCCCAGACUCCUACGGGAGGCAGCAGUGGGGAAUAUUGCACAAUGGGCGCAAGCCUGAUGCAGCGACGCCGCGUGAGGGAUGACGGCCUUCGGGUUGUAAACCUCUUUCAGUAGGGAAGAAGCGAAAGUGACGGUACCUGCAGAAGAAGCACCGGCUAACUACGUGCCAGCAGCCGCGGUAAUACGUANGGUGCGAGCGUUAUCCGGAUUAUUGGGCGUAAAGAGCUCGUANGCGGUUUGUCGCGUCUGUCGUGAAAGUCCGGGGCUUAACCCCGGAUCUGCGGUGGGUACGGGCAGACUAGAGUGCAGUAGGGGAGACUGGAAUUCCUGGUGUAGCGGUGGAAUGCGCAGAUAUCAGGAGGAACACCGAUGGCGAAGGCAGGUCUCUGGGCUGUAACUGACGCUGAGGAGCGAAAGCAUGGGGAGCGAACAGGAUUAGAUACCCUGGUAGUCCAUGCCGUAAACGUUGGGCACUAGGUGUGGGGACCAUUCCACGGUUUCCGCGCCGCAGCUAACGCAUUAAGUGCCCCGCCUGGGGAGUACGGCCGCAAGGCUAAAACUCAAAGGAAUUGACGGGGGCCCGCACAAGCGGCGGAGCAUGCGGAUUAAUUCGAUGCAACGCGAAGAACCUUACCAAGGCUUGACAUGUUCUCGAUCGCCGUAGAGAUACGGUUUCCCCUUUGGGGCGGGUUCACAGGUGGUGCAUGGUUGUCGUCAGCUCGUGUCGUGAGAUGUUGGGUUAAGUCCCGCAACGAGCGCAACCCUCGUUCCAUGUUGCCAGCACGUCGUGGUGGGGACUCAUGGGAGACUGCCGGGGUCAACUCGGAGGAAGGUGAGGACGACGUCAAAUCAUCAUGCCCCUUAUGUCUUGGGCUUCACGCAUGCUACAAUGGCCGGUACAAUGGGUUGCGAUACUGUGAGGUGGAGCUAAUCCCAAAAAGCCGGUCUCAGUUCGGAUUGGGGUCUGCAACUCGACCCCAUGAAGUCGGAGUCGCUAGUAAUCGCAGAUCAGCAACGCUGCGGUGAAUACGUUCCCGGGCCU